AUGGAAGGUCGGUAUCUAGAAGGCAAUCUGCUCGGUUUGAACAUGAUGAACCGAAACUCGCAGAGGACAUGUUCCAUACAAACGAGAUUGAUGAUAAAAUGCAAGUCUGUCUCGUGAAGUAACUAAGAAGGUUCAGUUAAGGAAAUUGGCGUCAACGUAAAAAUGCGCAGACCUGAGUGAGCGUUUUUUGAACUACUUGGUUUGAAAAUCAUACCCCUACUGAUACAGAAACAGAACUAACAUUAAAAGAUGGUAGCCAGGAGUUACUAGAUCGGGCAAUCAGUAUAACGAGCAUUUUAUGGGUUCCAGUUCGUGCUACUAAUGAUGUAUUAGAAAGAGGAACAUCUGUAGGUUCCAGUUCGUGCUACUAUGAUUACUGAAGAGGAAGCUAAAGCUAUGAAUCCCAAUUCUAUAUUAAACAUUAGAUACACAAGGUUUCCACGUGUUCAAGGCAUGAAUGAUGAAAAAUCCCCUGAAACGAUCCUAGCACACG
rnacentral:lncRNA from 1 species